GCUUACAGGAAUGGAUAUUUGCAAAUGUUUCUUGUACCUUCACCCCACACUUCCGGAUGCUCCACUUAAGUCAAAGAUUGGUAUAUUUGCAUUAAAUAACUAUGAAUGGAGUAUAGUUUUCUGCUAUUUCUACUAUAUCUUUAUCCUAUUUCUAUUUCAGAACAUUGCGAACACAUGGUGAGACACCUGUUCAAGAAGAGAACUUAGAAAAGGAAGAACAGAAGAAAUGAAGAACUGGAAAAUGAAGAACAGAACAGCCCUCUACGCAUGAAUCGUUCAAAAUUAGCUGCCUGGAUGCAGUCACUGAUGUCUGCUUGAAUCUUCUCCAUGCUCACAUCAAUGAGGGUCUGCUGCAUCCGUGAUCACAGGAUUGAUGUGCUCCAAGCAAACUGCAGGCAGAAUUGAACUUGACUGGAUUGAAAUGAUCAUGCAUGCACACGCAGCACGGUUCUGAGAAACGGUAUUCCGUCCUGCGGCUGUUUUAUGACGACUAUCAGUGAGGAACUGAUACAGAUAGGUAAGUCUUACAUUUACAAUUUAUUUUGGCGUAGUCUGUAGGCCUAUACAAGUCUUUCAAGCAGUAAGUUUUAAGCCAAGCUGUCUAGAAGACUCGCGCCGCAUAAAAUCUAUCUGUCAAUCCACUGUCAAAUAUCAGUC